CGUGCAGGCGGUUCGGUAAGUUGGAUGUGAAAGCUCCCGGCUCAACUGGGAGAGGCCGUUCAAUACUGCCGGGCUAGAGGACGGUAGAGGGAGGUGGAAUUCCCGGUGUAGUGGUGAAAUGCGUAGAUAUCGGGAGGAACACCAGUGGCGAAAGCGGCCUCCUAGGCCGUUCCUGACGCUAAGACGCGAAAGCAUGGGUAGCGAACG
rnacentral:rRNA from 1 species